ensembl:lncRNA
CUUUUAUUCAUCUGUAAAAAUGGUUAUUACAGAUACUCCUGUAAUUAAUACAACUACAAGAUAACAACCAAGUAAAAGUUUUUGUUGCUUUUGUUUUAAAUCAACCAUGAUUUUUAACUGUGUUAGAAUGGACUACAAUUACAGCCAUGACAGGCUGAAUGUUUGUGGAAUGCCGCUGUAGAAGGUAGGCACCGUUAGGUUGGUUCUUGGUUGCUCCAUCCUUACAGCUGACUAAUACAGUCCUCUACAGGUUUUGUCAAAUAAAGCAGCCUGAAAAUAUGAAUAUAUAUAUAGUAACAUAUAAGACUAAGAAUGAACAUAAAAAUAAGAAGGAAAUAUGCAAUGGGGCAAGAGGGAGAGAUGAAAGAGAAAACUGGAAAGAAAACAAGAACAUUGUAACUAAUACUUUAACGCUGUGGAGACUGAUGGUAAUUUAUCUGUCAUGACGUCACGUUGCAUUAGUGAAUUAACAUCAAUAAGUUAGAUAACAGGGGAAGCGGAGGAGAAGAAAAACAAUGUAGUGGAUUCUUAUAUGGAGUGGCGUCAAUCAACCAGGGAGUGGUGCUGAGGCUGAUCUGUUCAUCCACAGCGACCACAGCACGGGAGCCCUUCUGAAUGAAGAUCCACUGAAUGAGGAUCAGGACCUCAUGUCGCUCCGGAAUCUCUUUGGGGAACUGGUUGUUUACACUAAAGUCCGUUCCUUUCAGCUGCCUGUUCCUUCUGCUUGAAAUGUUGGAAUUUGGUCACAAUAGGACGCGGUCUUCAGGCAUCAUUCUUGCUGCCAGGCCAUGGACACAGUGGAAGAUUCCAGGAUGCCUGAAAACACCAGGGGAUAGUGUGGAAAUCGACCAUAGUGUCUUUUAUUAUUUUAAAAUCAUUAUUAUUUUACUUUCUUCACUGAGCUGGGUCACAUGACCAAGUCUCGUAGCGAGGCGUUUUCAGCAGUGAGUGUUUCCACCUGCUGCUGGCUGAACACCAAACAUUCCCUUACUGCUUUGGUGCGGUGCUCUUUGUCUGUUUGGCAUGCUGAAUAGAGGAGGAAACACGGUGCCGUUAUUAAUGUCACAGCCAAGGCCGACCUGGGAAAAAGACUCGAUAUGGAGAACACUCACGGAGGCACUGGUGGAGGUUUUUAGGCACGAGAGGGGGAAGAGGUCUGGGUGAGGCAGUGCUGUUUCCAGGUGGGGUGUUACGUAGGUGCUGUGACAGGAGGGCAGGUGAGUGAAAAAGAGAGCUUUUUGCACUGAGCUGUCUCGUACUGACCGGCAUCGGGAUGAUGGUGAAUAUGGCCAGCAGAGGAAAUGACAGACAGCAGGAUGACUGCAGG